UGUACCUCUGAGACUUAAGUGAACCAAAUGUGGAAACUCUUCACUCGCUGUUUAUUUUUACCUAUGGGAAGCUCACUUUCUUUCUCUCCCAGCUGUAAUCUUCAUUUGGGACCAAUUAAAGCAGCCCCACAUCUUGGGAUAGAGUUUUUGCGACACUUGAAGAGUUUCUUCCAGAUCAUGUUCAAAAUUGAAACUAAGCCAUGUGGUGAAGAGCUCAAGGGAGGGGAGAAGGUAUUGAUGACGUGUGUGGGAGUUGGCUUCUCAAACCUCAGCAAGACCAUCAAGUAACAUCCCUUCCGCCUUCAAGUCAGACCAGACCAGACUGAAAAGUGGAGACUCCUGAAGACUGCCAUAUACCUAUUUAGGACAAGACAGCCACAUACCCUAAGGACUUUUUUUUUCUCCCUUUUUCUUUUUUAUAGGACAUUAAAAAUAAAAGACAUUUGAAUAAUA